rnacentral:lncRNA from 10 species
GGGCUCUCAGGCAGGACAGUGCUUGGGCUGUUCAGAGUUUCGGGGGCGCCCUGUGGCCCGAGGCUGGAGCUGUGUUGUGAAGAAAGAGGACUUGGCAGAGCAGGAAUGCGUUCUGGCUAGUCUGAGGAUUGCUAGAGUGUGCCAAGCUCAGAUCCAUGUGCCAGGGACCAACGAAGCGAAAAGAGACUCAAGAAGAUUAAAGAACUUGCUAAGUGUGGCAGCCCUGCUGGAGGCUGGGCCCAGAGCCAGGCCCCUCACCCCUGCAAGGCAUCGCUCCUGCAGGAUCGUCGUCACCCUCAUCAUCGCCAUCCUUGUUCCUGACAGGCAGGAGAUCCUGGUAUUUUUCUGUGUGCUUCCCCUUCUCCAUCCCUUUUGGUGAUUUUCUGAACAUUGUGCAGUUGACAGUGUGGUCAUAUUCCCAUCGUGUAGAUGAGGACCCUGAGGUACAAAGAGGUGACAUGGGAAAUGCUGAGACAGGGCGCAGGUUUGAUGUGUUUCUCAGUAGUCUGAAGCAAUUGAGAAAAGUAAGUGCAAUGCAGUAAAUCUUUCAUGGGGCUAGCUUGACUUUAUCUAAAGGGCUGAGCUUAGUCUGAGAGAAUGUCCUUCCUACUGUUAAAUUGUCCUUUUCUUUUAUGAAAUGAUGACGGUAGUGGGUGGUGAUUGUUGCACUCUUAAUGUCCAAUUUUGGCAAAAUAAAAGGCUGGCUCUCUGGAGCUCCAAAUCAGCCCCAGCAGCUGAUGUGAAAUGCUGUUUGAUGAUGGUUGACUCCUAACGUCUGACUGUAGUGGUCUGGAGGCUCUGGGCCUGGCUCAGGGCUCCCUCACUGCACAUCUCUUCCAGCCAAAGCAUUUACCCAGGGACACCUACGCUGCUCACAAACAUGAAGGAUGCUCAAAGGUGUGGCCCUGCCACCUCCAUCUGAGUUGGGAAAAUGCCUUCCAUUACCCCUGACCAUGG